ensembl:snRNA U6 U6 spliceosomal RNA
GUGCUUCCUUCAGCAGCAUAUAUACUAAAAAUCAGAAUGACACAGAGAUUAGCAUGGCUCCUGAGCAAGGAUGAUAUGCAAAUUCAUGAAGCAUUCCACUUUAAA